ACCAACAAAAACGAUGACUGUUCUGAAAAAAAUCUUGCUGGAAUUGUAGUAUUAUAGCAAUAUUGUUCGUCAUUUCAUUUGUUGUUAUUGCUUAUUUGGUUUAUCAAAAUCGUCGACUACAUUCAUCAAGCAGUGAGUCCACUAGGGCAAACGUGGAGAGGACAAAUAAUUCACGAGAUACUCAUGAUAAUCGUGACAGCGAUGACGCCAUUUAUGAACAAGUAGAUAAUGAACAGUCGACCUACACUGCUCUCGAAAGACCUGGGGAGAGAGAAAGUGAUGUUCAUUUAUAUUGUCAUCUAAAUGAAGUACAAAAUCAGAAGGAAACUGGAUUUUAAUGCCUUAUUUACACAGAGUUAAUCGUCAUUUGGUCUGCAAACACUGAAAAUUUCAAAAUGUCUAUAAUUUUUAUUGAGACGAAAUCAAUAUGCAAAAAUCUUAUGAAAAUUUGCUGAUUAAUUUUAACGACUGGAUCAUUGCUUUACCAAAAACGUGGAUGCUUCUUUUCGCUCCCAAAACCGUGUCAUAUUUUCGUAUCAAAACAUUUAGGAAUUCGACUACAUUUUUAUGCCUAUUAUUGAUAAAAUGUGAAAAUAUUUUUUAUGUAUGUCAAUAUAAUUUCUCGCGGAUCAGGCG